CGGAGCGUGGCGCAGUAGCAGCGCGCUGGUCUGGGGGACCAGAGGUCGCAGGUGCAAUCCCUGUCGCUCCGA
rnacentral:tRNA from 2 species